rnacentral:rRNA from 1 species
AGUGAACGCUGGCGGUAGGCCUAACACAUGCAAGUCGAACGGCAGCACAGUAAGAGCUUGCUCUUACGGGUGGCGAGUGGCGGACGGGUGAGGAAUACAUCGGAAUCUACUUUUUCGUGGGGGAUAACGUAGGGAAACUUACGCUAAUACCGCAUACGACCUACGGGUGAAAGCAGGGGAUCUUCGGACCUUGCGCGAUUGAAUGAGCCGAUGUCGGAUUAGCUAGUUGGCGGGGUAAAGGCCCACCAAGGCGACGAUCCGUAGCUGGUCUGAGAGGAUGAUCAGCCACACUUGAACCGAGACACGGUCCCGACUCCUACGGGAGGCAGCAGUGGGGAAUAUUGGACAAUGGGCGCAAGCCUGAUCCAGCCCUACCGCGUGGGUGAAGAAGGCCUUCGGGUUGUAAAGCCCUUUUGUUGGGAAAGAAAAGCAGCAGGUUAAUACCCCGCUGUUCUGACGGUACCCAAAGAAUAAGCACCGGCUAACUUCGUG